rnacentral:rRNA from 1 species
UGCGUAGGCGGUUUCGUGUGUCGGAUGUGAAAUCCCAUGGCUCAACUAUGGAAUUGCAUUCGAAACUACGAGACUAGAGUGCAGGAAGGGAGAGCGGAAUUCCUGGUGUAGCGGUGAAAUGCGUUGAUAUCAGGAGGAACACCGGUGGCGAAGGCGGCUCUCUGGAAUGUUACUGACGCUGAGGCACGAAAGCGUGGGGAGCAAACA